UGCCCCACCUCCCGCUCCCCGCCUCCCGGGACCCCCACCCGGAGCCGGGCCCGGGCCGCCGGGGAUGUGGUGGGGGCCGCAGGCUGCCGCCCGACGCCCCUCCAAAAUGGCCGCGCGGGGGGCCCGGCCUUGCCCCCGCCCCCGGCUUGUUCACACGCGAGAGAAAGACCUUCCGCCUGACACGCGGCCUGUGCGGGGCCUGACCUUGCCCCGGCCCGCUCGGUCUCCGUCGCGCGGUCCCCGUCCCCUCGCCCCCUCCGGUGUCCUCGGAGCUGCGCAGAGGAGCGCGCCAGAACCGAGCCUGUGCUCCGGGUGGCCACCAAGGAGACCACCAAGCCAUGGCUGGGGCCCUAGGAAGGGGGGCCAGCCAGGCCCCAGGGGAUCCUCGGUCCCCCCUUCCUACCCCAUUGACCUGGAAAGCCCGGAAGCCCUAGUUAAUGGAGAAGAUGAAAUUCUAACAACGGCUCAGGAAUAGCAUCUCUACCAGAACAGGACUUACCUGCCUGGAACUGGAAGUCCAGACAGACCAUGGUUCCUUGGGACAGACAGACUGAUCUGAUCAGAAUUUGGAAUACCUCUGUGCCACCGCAGGGCGGUCCCUCAGCCAUAGAUGUCUCUUUGGCUGCAGCUCCCAGCAAGCAGCGUGGGAGCCGGGGCCUGCCCCGCGGUCCGGCUGUAGUGGCCCCUGGAAGGACUCCCAGCCCCAGGGCCUUGGCAGGUGUCUGCUGCCUCCCUGAGGGUGGGGUGCUGGGAGGCUGACAUCUGCAGAGUGUUUUUACUGUUGGACAAAUUGAAUCAAUUAAACGGGCCCCGUCCCGGU